UACGUAGGGGGCAAGCGUUGUCCGGAAUCAUUGGGCGUAAAGAGCGUGUAGGCGGCCAGAAAAGUCCGCUGUGAAAACUCGAGGCUCAACUUCGAGCUGUCGGUGGAAACUUUCUGGCUAGAGUCCGGAAGAGGAGAAUGGAAUUCCUGGUGUAGCGGUGAAAUGCGUAGAUAUCGGAAGGAACACCAGUGGCGAAAGCGGCUUCCUGGUCCAGCACCGACGUUCAGGCACGAAAGCGUGGGGAGCAAACAGG
rnacentral:rRNA from 1 species